CCUACGGGAGGCAGCAGUGAGGAAUAUUGGUCAAUGGACGAGAGUCUGAACCAGCCAAGUAGCGUGAAGGAUGACUGCCCUUUGGGUUGUAAACUUCUUUUAUCUGGGAAUAAAAUGUUCGACGCGUGUGCUUUUGUAUGUACCAUAUGAAAAAGGAUCGGCUAACUCCGUGCCAGCAGCCGCGGUAAUACGGAGGAUCCGAGCGUUAUCCGGAUUUAUUGGGUUUAAAGGGUGCGGAGGUGGAGUGUUAAGUCAGUUGUGAAAGUGUGCGGCCCAACCGUAAAAUUGCAGUUGAAACUGGUAGUCUAGAGUACAGGAGAGGUGGGCGGAAUUCGUGGUGUAGCGGUGAAAUGCUUAGAUAUCACGAAGAACUCCGAUUGCGAAGGCAGCUCACUGGACUGCAACUGACACUGAGGCUCGAAAGUGUGGGGAUCAAACAGGAUUAGAUACCCGAGUAGUC
rnacentral:rRNA from 1 species